GCGCUAAAUUUCCUAUCUGACUUAAGCAUCGGAUGGGCGACGAGCACACACCUCGUUGCCUUUGUUGCAGGUAUUCGAAGGUCGUUCGUGUUCAUCAAAGUUCGGAGUUCAAUCACCGAGUUCGAGAUCUUUCAGUUUCCUCUUUCUUUCAGCCCAAAAGGCAGCCUCCAAUGAGCUUAAGUCUGGACGUUAACCGACCUCCAUCCAUCACCAAAUAAUUGAAGAUUUCGUGCCAAGCCUGGAUCACAUCACGAACGCCAAUAGAUUUUGAUAUUUUAACCUCAGCAGAACUGAAAGAGCCUUCUGAGAUGAUUCUACAAGAUGCGAUUGGAACAAAUGCUCUUAUGAAGUGCUUACCCUUGAUACGUUAUAAAUAUAAAAUUAUAUUCUUGUGCGCAUGUGAUCUUGUUUUGACAUGGGAGGUUGGGUGAGUUCCAGACUGAAAAUUAUACACUAGAAACUUUAACACCUUACUUAGAAUGAACUCCAAACAAAUGGUGCAAGAGGGAACCCUCAGUGCUUUAGCUUCAAUUGCCAAUUCACUCCAAGUACACUAUUCUGUAAUUAUUAAGUGUUAUUUUUAUAUUUCUUUGCUUGUAUAACGAGUCUGUUAAACUGCAUUUAUAAAAGCACCUCUGAAAAUACUGUGAUGCAGACAUGCUGUUAUGCCUUACUUAAAAGCUAUUUUGAUGAAUGUUAUCGACAAGUCUAUCUAUCUGCUUUGUGCCAUAGCCAUGGAAUAAAUUAGGGUGGUUAGAAAUGAGAACUUCGAAAAAUAUGCCAAGAUAGAUUACCAUCUAGAAGCGUUGUUGAGGCAGAUGCGGGGAAAGCUACUUGGAAUAGCAGCUUUGACAGUUUCACUAUCAUAUUAGAACUACUGGAUGAUCAGCACGCAGAUAUUCUUUGACACUUCUUCCUCUGGCCCCUGUAUCAGAUAAGGAAGGUGCAUUACUUUGGGCAGAUCAUUGAUGUAUUAUUAUGUCGGUCCUUGUUAGAGUUUGCUCUAUUGAUCGGACUAAAGAUUGCGAGCGAUGAAACAACUCGUGAAGGUACUCAGAGAAGCAACAGAUUGCACGAUGCUUAUUUCUAGGGACAAGGAAUGAUGCUUCUAUCGCAGCUGAUCAGAGCAAUCAAGGGGUGUGAUAAGAUGUUGAACAGACAGAAGCUAGGACUAGUCUACAUCCUUGAGAGCGUGGUAUGGUGUCAUCAUAAGAAGACUGUGAUCGACAUUUUCCAUUAGAGAUGGUCAACAACAUCACUGCAUAUGAGACUAUCUUCCUAUUAGAUACCCGCGAGGCGAGGAGAGACACGCUGCCUCGAUGCAUCAUUGGCGAGCAUCCCGAGCAGAAGGAUGUUUAUCUGAAAAAUAAUUAUCGGUUCUUCUCAGUAUUCUACAUUUGUAUUUUAUAUUGUACGUAGUUUAAAAUCUU